GAGAGAUAUUGUUUGGAAAUGGGACAAAGAUUGACAUCAAAGGAGCCGACAAUCAGACGGCCGUAAUAGCUCUGUCUCUGUUAUCAGCUGCUUUGGCUAUAAGCUUGAUUAUUAUAGCUUUCCUGAUUCAUAUCAUCAAGACUAAAUCGUGUGAUUCCAGCAAAGCUGCUGAAGUUCUGCAAACACAUCCUGCAGCAGAUCGACGACGCCAGCAGAGCGCUGAGGACUCAUUGGUUUAUUCUGCACCGACUUUUUCUAAGAUUAGAACGGACAAAAGAGAGAAGAGAAAAGUCAAAGCAGCAACAGAAGAGACGAUCUACACCGGGGUCAGAACUCCUCCGACUGGCUAAAAAGAUGUGCUCAUUUAAGACGUAUUAAAUAUUUGAUAUGUAUAUUAUAAGAC